rfam:Camelus ferus unplaced genomic scaffold scaffold638, whole genome shotgun sequence.
GGAGGGUACAGUUCAGCGGCAGAGUAUGUGCUUAGCAUGCACGAGGUCCUGGGUUCAAUCCCCAGUUCUUCCA